rnacentral:rRNA from 1 species
UACGUAGGGUGCGAGCGUUGUCCGGAAUUAUUGGGCGUAAAGAGCUCGUAGGCGGUGUGUCACGUCGGCCGUGAAAACCUGCAGCUUAACUGUGGGCGUGCGGUCGAUACGGGCAUCACUGGAGUUCGGCAGGGGAGACUGGAAUUCCUGGUGUAGCGGUGAAAUGCGCAGAUAUCAGGAGGAACACCGGUGGCGAAGGCGGGUCUCUGGGCCGAUAUUGACGCUGAGGCGCGAAAGCUAGGGGAGCAAACGGG